AAAGCUGUAGAAAGAACAGUGUCUAAAAUAAAAAUUACUGUCCAAAACUUCCAUGUGACUCCAAGUAUCAGAAUUGCUCAAACUAAAUCUAGUUGAGGAAAAUCCUCAACUACUGUAUUUUUGUUUAUUCAUAAAUAUCCAUAUGAAUGUAUUGCAUUGUACCAAAUUUAAGAAACUUUUCAAGACAUUUAUGCUGCUCCAUAACUUCUCAUAAAAGUAACAAUUGCUGAAGUGUAGAGGUACUCAAAUGUAAGCAAAUGAUAAGCAUGUGUUGGGUGAAAGGAAAACACCUUACCUUGCUCUCCUCCACUCUAAAUGCAGGUAUCUAUUUUCACUUAGUCCCUAACCUUGCACACUCUGUCCAGGCAUUAAUGUAAACCACCAGCAUCAACCAAGUCACUCAGCCAAAGUCACUAAUCUUCUCAUAAUGAAGGCAUGAGGCUUUUCAGCUGAAUCAUCAUGACUGUGGUAAGGAACCCAAGACAUCUCUGUUUCAUUGAGUGCAUUUAAAGAAUCAGUUUAAUAUGGUAUAUUUAGGAUAUUUGAAUUUUAAGCUAAAAGUCUGAAUGCUGUAUUCAUUUUAUCUUAUUUGCCUGUAGGUGCUGAAGACAUAGAAAGGUUUAUUCUGAGAAAUUAACAUUAAGUUUCUUUCAGGUUAGGAAGAGGGGCUGCUUCUACCUCCUUCAUAACAACCACACACAUUCCUCAGAAAACUUUUUUUUUUUUUUUUUUCAGCGAUAUGCACUGCAGGAUGCUGACAAAGCACCAUACUCUGGACUCAAAAAUCCCUGUACUCCCCAGUCAUUCUUAAGAGAGCUGAGUGUGUCUCAAGUUUAACUCUGCUCACCCACUGGAAAAGACAAACAAGUACCUGGACUUCAUAAACAGAAAACAGGAAAGCUGACAUCAGCAGCAGUGUGACAUACAACUAUCUAACUGUGACCAAAAGUUUAUUUAGGAAGAACCAUAAAGAAAAGCUCAGCAUCAAGAAAACUCCAACAAGGAAGAUGCACAUGUUCAUAUCUAUGCAUUUUCUGCCAUGAAUUUGUGCAGGAACACAGAGUCUACCUUCAUUUGUACAUCUAUAAUUUUUUUUUUCAGCUAUAUGGAUUU